UAUAAGGGAUUUUGAGUUUUUGCUUGUAACGUUUGACCACUCGUCUUAUUCGCUAUUUUUUGCGAUUAGUAAUUAUUGUAUGUGGGACUUACUUUAUUAUCUAUAGUACUUUAAGCACAACUUUUCAUUUUUUAUAUUUGCAAAAAAAAUUUGAAUAAGACGAGUGGUCAAACGUUACAAGCAAAAACUGAAAAUCCCUUAUA
rfam:Oryza sativa (indica cultivar-group) chromosome 8, whole genome shotgun sequence.